GUGGGAAGCAUCACUGGACACUCUUGGGCUCAGGUCACACAAGCAGAAAACUGAAAAUGGGUGUCAUUGUGAGACUGGGAUAGACUUAUAUCAGACCCUGCAAGCGUCCCUAUUUUCCAGGUAUGUCCCUGAUUUAGAGAAGCCACCCCAGUUUCUGAUUUGAUCCCAGAAUGUCCCACUUUUCCUUAGGAUGUCCUUAUUUUCACUGGGCAAAUGUUAGAGGGUAUGGAGUUAUCCAACCCCUGAGCUGUCUGAAGGCAAUCCUGUAUAGGGAAGGUUUUUUUAAUGUUUAAUGUUUUAUUAUGUCUUUAUAUAUGUUGGUAGCUGCUUGGAGUGGCUGAGGUAACCCAGUAAGAUGUGUGGGGUAUAAAUAGUAAAAUUAUCAUUAUGGAAUGGGACAUCCCUAUUUUCAUCAGAGAAAUGUUGGAGGAUAUGUUAUAUCAUCUUUGAAUCUCUCUUAUUUCCUUUAUGUUGACAGCUGGUCAUGUUUCAUGUGGAAGAGGAAGGUACAAUAGAGCUUUCUCAAGUUCUCCACAUCUCCAGGAGAGGUUUUUGUAAUGAGCGUUCUGGGCAAUGUGGUAUUGUAAUGUGAAUGUACCGUAAGCCCUUAUUCUCAUUCUCAUUAUCAUUAUCAUUAUCAUUACCUGCCCUUUGCCAAAUGUUGCCAGGACAGGACAUAGCAAUGUAAAAUACAGCAUUAAAAGCAGUUUAAAAUAAAUUGCAAUCACAACCCCAAGCUUCUGAGGGCAGUGGAACUACCAAGAGGACCCCCUCUUCUGCUCUGAAUAUGCAAGAGGGUCUGUAUGGAAAGAGGAGGUUCUCCAGAUAUUUGGAGCCCAAAUCAUUUAGGACUUUAAGCACUAAUGUGAGCAUCUUGAAUUGGGCCUGGAAAGUGUACAAAAGUGUCUCCCUAGACCCACUUCCCUUGUGGUAAGAAACACAUUUUUGGAAGUACUGUGCAACAGUCUCAGGUGGACCAACACACAAAUAUACAAAUGAGCCUUUCUCUAGUGUUUUCACUGCAUUCAUUCAUUCAUUCAUUCAUUCAUUCUUGUUCUAUGCUUGUUGAACUCAGGGAUUUUGCAUUAAACGUUUUCUUCAUCACUGUAAAGCAAUGGGAUGAGGCAGCUCGUCCCAUUUUGCCACCUGAACCAAAAUGGGAUUGUGCCAUCUCUUGCCCACCGCCACUGUGCCCCAACUGCCCCACCACUUCUGCUGCCAAAACUCGGUGAGAGGUGGCAUUCUGCAAGGACUUCUUCACCCCAGGGGAAGGGAAGAUGAGUGGCAACAUGGCGCACCAGAACACAUUCCUCUCAAUGAAACAGUGGCAUUGGCAGAAGCAGUGGGGUGGGCAGAGUACCACCUCUUGCACUUCCACUGCCUGAGGCAGCUGUUUCACCCCACCUAAUGGGUGGGCCGGCUGUGCUUAUUUAUCUUCACUUGGAACCUGUUUUUAAAAUACUUCUCACUGGGCACAAAAGCAUGCAAUACAUUGAAUAUGGAGCAUAAUUAGCUGUCUGAGGAGGGCUGGUUCUCCUCUUUCAUGGCUUUAUUUCACAAUGUUCCAGUAAUAUAGGAAUACAGAAAUCAAAUUAGGGAAGGUGGGGGGGGGGGAAACUGAAUCAUGUUGGAAGAACCACAACCAUCUCAGAGACUAGGUCAGAUGGUAGAGAGGGCACUGGUUCUGCAUUCCUAAAUUAGCAAGAAGAACAUCAGAUGGAGAAACAACAAGCAGCAACCACGCCACAUAAGAACAGGCCCUGAUAUAUUGCUCAUUUAACAGAACUUUCUGAAAGCACAAUGACUUUAAGAGCAUUAUAUUAACUUGCUCAUCAGGCAGCACCCAGAAAACAAUUAACUUGGGCAUCAUGCAAAUGAUGGAACUCAGUAGCUAGGUAAGGAAGACAGUCUCCCCCUGCCCAAACUUGUUCCCUUAACCCACUGUGGGAUAUUAUUCAGCCUCAAGAUUGUGCCAGUGAUGCCAUUUCCAGGGCUGGGAAAAGAAGGUGGAGCAUGACAUCCUGGCUGUGGGCUCCUAAACCCCACUGGAUAUAUACAAGCUGACUGAGCCAUGCUCUUUAGGACUGGGAGGAGCCAACCACAGGUAGCUCACUCUGAUCCCUCAAUAGCCUCAGUCAGUACCUGUGGGAGGAUAGUGGGAGAAAGACUCACCCUUGUGGUUGAAGGUGCUCCAGGGAAAAGUGCUGCCUUGGCUGCUGAACGACUCCAACAUUCAACCGCAAAGGAGUCACAGCUAAUGUUUACAACCUGAUGUGAAUCUCAGCCAAAGUUUAACCACCAGAAAAUCACAGGAAGAGCUGGGUAAAGAGAAAAAGAAGGGGUCCUGCCAGGAAAUAAAUGAGAUGUUUCCUGUAGUAAACCCCAUCUAAUAUAUAUCCGCUAUCAAAGCCAAUCUAUUCUCCAUUGGUAGAGUCACAACUAUGCACAGACUCUCCUGAGUAAGAGGUUCUUCAGUCUUAGGUCUUCUACUUUGACUCUAGUGAAAAGGACCAUGAACUUUCCAGUGGUGACAACUGCAUACCUGUGGGAAGAUGAGUUUUUGCAGGUAACAGUGUUGCUUUGGUGUGACAACACAGUGUUGCAUACAGACUGUCAACAGCCAAGUAUUCUAGUUUCACACUCCGAUGUACUUUUGACAUACAGUGGUACCUCGGGUUACAGACGCUUCAGAUUACAGACUCCGCUAACCCAGAAAUAGCACCUUGGGUUAAGAACUUUGCUUCAGGAUGAGAACAGAAAUGGUGUGGUGGAAGUGCGGCAGCAGCAGGAGGCCCCAUUAGCUAACGUGGUAUCUCAGGUUAAGAACGGACCUCCAGAAUGUAUUAAAUUCUUAACCCGAGGUACCACUGUAUUGCAUAGUAAUCAGGGCCUGUUGUUAAUUGGGGGCAUACAAUUCCCAUCAACCCUGACCACUGGCGUUGAGGCUAGGGUUGAUGGGAGUUAGGAGUCCAAUAGCAUCUGGAGGUCCAUCCCAUCCUCACUGAUGUAAGCUGACAUUCUUACCUUGGAGUAAGUCGCACUGAACCCCGUGGGGAUAGUUUUAUGUAUUUAUUUACUCAAAUUGUAUCUCUCACCAGUAUGAUUCCAGGGAAGCUAACAGAGUAGCUAAGUAGGGAGAGUGGUAUGAAACAACAAUCAAAAAGCACAAUUUGACAAUUUGUGUUCUCUUGCUUUUAGUUGAAACAUUUAAGGAGCAAGGAAGCCUCUUUUAUGCCUUCCCUCUGUGAAUAUACUGACUGUGUAGAGCGGGGAACAGGAUAGUGGCUGCUGGCUCAGCAUCCUGUCCCCUGUCUUCACUGGAAGAUGUGGAAAGAGGCCUCUAUAUGCAAACCAUUGUAUGUGCUCUUAUAUGCGAUCGAUACUUGAAGGAAUCAGUGUUGUCUCCAGACUAUUCCAUAAUUAUUUGUAUUACAAAACUUUCCUAUAGUCUAUAACCCCAUCACACCUUCUGACCAUGCAUAUCCUGAACACAUAAAGGCAGAGCCAGAUGGCAUCUGCUGCCACCAGUAGAAGGUAUGAAAGGAACCUCCAUUAACAUAUACUUAAGGGUUCCUAAUCAUAUGGAAGAGCCUAAGUGCCUAUAUAUGCACGAGGACAAUAUGAAAAAAUUUCAUUCACACUAAUAUAUCAGGUGGCUAAACAGUUUUUGGAAUCUGCCAUGUCAGAUUGGAAGAGGGGACUGCAUAGCUGAAUGCUUUCCCAUGGGAAAAAUAUCCCUGCACAUACAUGGGAUGGGGAGCAGGGUGAAAUCCACCCUACUUGGAUUCCAAAGCAGACAUACCUGAUCUGAUCCAGGCGGAUCAUGAUGCUGAUUCGAUCAAUGGUCCACUUCAGAAUCCACAAUCUAAAGGAUUCCAUUACAAGGCUUGUGUGCUGCCUCUCUUGCCUUCAACUGCAUCCUUAGAGCACAUAAUGAAAACAACAUACAAGGUGGCCCAAGGGCUGUGCCCUGUCUCUUUUGCUCCCCCUAUUUCUACUCUGAGUUCUACUUUUUUAUUGUACACCACCCUGUGAUCUUUGGUUGAAGCACAGUAUAGAAAACAAAGAGCGGUUUUGCAGGAUGUAUUGAAUAUUGGAAGCCACCCAGAGUGGCUUGGGAGGCCUAGCCAGAUGGGUGAGGUAUAAGUAAUAAAUUAUUAUUAUUAUUAUUAUUAUUAUUAUUAUUAUUAUUAAAUAAUAUUUAUUAUAAAAGCUUUCAGGCAUAUGGAUUUCCUUGUAGGCCCAGAGUGAAACAGUCCAGGAACCAUUUUACCACCUCAUCUACUGUUGUGUGAACUAGGCUUCAAUGAGAGAGGGGAAACAAAAGUUUGGAAGGCACCCCAGAGUGUUCAGAGCAGUGGGAGUAGCGUAGCCUUCUGUAGCCUGUUAUUCAGCUAGAGAUGCUUAAGACCCCACCCCGGGGGGGGGGGAUUAUGGACACCUGUAUCUUUGCAGGCAGAAAAGCAGCUGGGUGGGGAGAGAAUUUUUGAAUUGAGAAGCAGCUAUUGGGGGGUGGGGAUAGUCAAGGAACCUCGCAUCAUUUCGUUCUUCACAGACUCACAUUGGUGCAAGGAUGCUGAUGAUAACGACGACUUCUAUUAUUAUUUGCUUUCGUUGCCAUUGUAUUAUUUGUUUAAAAUUGCCCGGAAAGUAUUUCCUGGGAUUGUGGGGUAUCUAAAACACAAAUAAACAAAGAGAAAAAGUUAUGUGGAAAAUACAAACAAGACCCUUGGCCCACCCACACUCCCAUUUGUCCUGUGAUUUCAAGUGCUUUUAAUGUGUGUCAUGUGUCUGAGAGGUGUGGUUUUUUGUCCCACUGUUUUCCCUAGGAAAACCUGCUCUUUACUGCUGAAUCAGAACCAAAGUCAAUCUGCAGAAAACCCAAUUGAGGUUUGUUCCAAUUCAGCAGCAAACAGUGGGUUUUCCAGGGGAAAGCCGCAGGACCGAAACAGAAAACAAAAACCCAUCUCUCAGACUCAUGACUUAAAAUCACAGGGCAAACAGAAGUGUGGAUGGGAGCCCUGUGUGUUGGGCCUCAGACUACUUUUUACAGGGACAGGCUGUUGCUCAGUGCAAACUGAAACCGUUCCCCCAAAUAUUUUACAAUGUUACAGGUGUAUCUGGACCAUAUCUCAGUUCAUGGAAAGGCACCCGUCCUGCAUCAGUCAGUACCUCAGACCCUCCUGACCCUGAUUAAACUCCUCUGAGCCCAAAGCGGUUAAGAUGUCUGGCACAACACAGCUCAAGAAGAAACAGCUGCACCAUAUUCCGGUUUCCCCUGAGCUUACUUUCAAAUAACUUUCGUAACAAAUUUCCAAACUGUUUUGCAAAUGCCAGUAAGUGCUAAGAAGCAGUUUGAGAUUAAGAUAGCCGACGUGAAAAAAUGUCUCUCAGGAAAAAAAAGGGCUGUGUGCACAGGGAUGUUUCGUAAACGUCCUCCAGAGCAAAAGCCUGUCUUGCCAAAACAGUUAUAGGUAAGUUGUAGCAUAGUGAACUUUAACCUUUAAGACAUGGGUCGGCAAACUAAGGCCCGGGGGCCGGAUCUGGCCCAAUUGUCUUCUGGAUCCGGCCCGCGGAUGGUCUGGGAAUUGUAACCUUUAAGAUGUUCCCUCCAAGGCUUUCAAGAGUUCCAGUGAGUGUGAUGACUUUAAAUCUAAACUGAUGAACUAAAUAAAUGUUGUUGUAAAGUAAUAAGAUUUUGUAAGCAACAACCUUUUAUUAAGUGGUGCAGCAAUAAAACUUCUAGCAGUUUUUGCAAAAGCUAAAGAAGGGCCAGUAUGGUUUCAAAUUGGAUGGGGGGACCGCAUGUUGAGAUCAGGAGAUUCAACAAAUGUCCCUCAGGGUACCUUCCAACUUUCUAUGAGUCUGCUAUUCUAAGUGCGUUUUCUGUUUGGAAUGCUCCUUUUUAUUACAAAUCAGGCAUCUUUCACUUGAAAUCAUUACUGUCUUCAUAUUAAUAAUGAAAUGUCUUUUCUGGUGACGCUUAUGCUAAUUUCUUUUAUUUAGAAAACACUAUAGGAAAAUCUAUCGGAUUACAAGCUGUGAGAUACCAAUGAAUACAAACAGAACAUUGUUUAACCAUCUCGAUCAAGCAGUUGAUACAAGGAAUGUACAUCCACUUUGGACGAGGCCUAAAUAUUGAACGGCAGCAGACCACUCUGGACGUAUCAGGACUUCCUCCCAAGAGAACCUGCUCUUCUCAGCACUGGACUGAAGUGAAGCAGACUGGUCCCAAAACUUUGGAUUCCCUUUAGAGCUUCACAGAGUAUGAGGACAACUGAAUGUGUGCUUUCAGCUUGCAAACAAAAAGUAAAAAUUUCAUUCAAAAUGUUUAGGAGAAAUUUGCAACAAAUGCUGAAAAAAUUCCAUGAGAGAUUUAAAAAAGAAAAUCCCCAAAUUGCGGCAGAAAUGUAGAGAACCAAAAUUAAGUGUGUGUUGGGGGGGGGGGAGAAAAUCCAAGUGAACCAAAAUUAGUGGAUUUUUCUACCCCUAGUGUGGGGACAGCUGUCCAAGGAGGAAAAUAAAAGCUGUACCCCUCCCCCAAAAUGAAAGGGGAGGGUUGAAGGUGAGCCCCAUUGAGGCCCUAAGUGCUAGGCUUCCCCCAGUUGUGACUGGGAUUGCAGCCUCCCCAAACACCCUGCAAGUCAAUGGGGAAUCUCUAUAGAUUUGCAUGGAGGAAAAGACAGGUGCAUGCAUCCUCCAGAAUGGCUGGUAAGGGAGAAAAGGACUCUUGGGGCAACAGAUUAUUCGGGGGGGGGGGAGGUAGGCUGCAGCUUGCUCCCUCCUGUUUUCAGCUUGCAACCUUUAUUUUCCUUGUUUAACAGCUGUCUCGGUGAAUGCCUUCCUGGCUUGCACUGAUGGAAGUGCAGAAUAGGUGGCAGCAAAAAUAGUGAUAGCUCAUUAUAAAAAGAAGCCUUUUCCACCCCUAUUUCUGUUUUGAUUGUUUUGAGUUAGAAAUACAACAGACAUUGAAAAUACCAUAUUUCAACAUAAGAAGAUUUGAGGGGCAUGCACAAGGCAUGGCAAAUUUAUGCAGAGAUGGGCAAUAUUUGCAAUAUGUUAGAAUGAGAAAAAUAACAAUGUAAUUAGAUACUUCAUACACGUCUCAUUAUUUUUAUCAUUUUAUGAUAAAAAUUUGUUCAGUACUUAUGUAUUAUUAAUAUUGUUGAUCAAUCUGAAUGCCAGACACAUUUAUCUGCCUAUCAGAUGCCAUGAGAUUGGACACCUGGUUUUAUUUAUAGCUUGGUGGCCAUUUCAAGGGAUACAUUUGGAACUGUAACUCGAAGUGGAGGGUUUCCUCCAUAAGACUUAUGCCACCAUAGAGUUCAAAUAUGUUCGCCAAUCAGAAUUAUUAUUAUGCUUUACCAGUGUAUGAGUAGAACACUGGACUCAAUGGGCCAGCAUGUUUCCUCCUAUGUUCUUAUGAGUUGAACUGUCAUUCUCUGUCUACAUCCAAGGGC